ensembl:lncRNA SBF2-AS1 SBF2 antisense RNA 1
AGCCCCGACCCGGGCGCGCGGGGCCGACUAGGGUCGGGUCCAGUGUGCGGUGGUCGCUCCGCUCCGGGCCGCUCCGCUCUGGGCGUCAGGGCGCGGGGAGCUGCCCCGGGGUUCUGUCCACCGGGGAGGAAAGCCACGAGCACUGAGCGCCUCCUGAGAGCCAGCCCUGACGUGAACUCAUUUUAUCUGCCACGACCCAGAAGAAUAAUGCUGUGUGCUCCCUCUUUGCCUGCUACUGAACAAUGACGUCUCUUGUUGUGAACCCCACUGGCAGAGCACGGACCAUGGAAGCAUCUUUUGGCAGCACCAGAGAACUGAGCAUCUCAAAGCAUGAGUUCUUCUGUUUCUUCUGCGUGGGUUGACCAUGGGCAUCAGGCAUCAGAGAUACAACUCUGGAUCUUGUCCAUCCAUUGCUGGGCACUCUGUCCAUCCUGGGCGCAGAAGUUAUACACACGUUUGCUGGUCUUGAGCUACAAAACCAAAUGACAGUGAACCAGAGAUGAAGGGCAGGGCUGUUUUAUGGAUUUGGGAGUCUACUGCUAAGAUUUCAGCAUGUCCUGUGGCUGAGUUAAUCAGAGUUAUGACAGGAAGGUACCGGGCACACCAUCGCAAUGCUCCAUCAAUGCUAGUAUGUUGUGUUCUUUCCUUCAUAUCAAGUCAACUCAAGCUUGCUCUACUUACCUGGUGUACACAGUCUAAGAACUGUAAGAAGACUGGAGCAAAACCACUCCCCUGACAGUUGAGGGUCAAGCUGCUCCUCUGACUGAAUUUGUGACCAAAAGAGAGCCACUCUUUUUCAACCAACAUCUGGAAGCCUUCAAGUGUCCUAUAAAAGGGAUCACUGAGUAACUGAACCAGGGAUGUCACCUAGGGCAUAAGCAGGAUGGAUUGUCAUUAAUUUUAGUUCUGAAAAAGGCCUAUUACUAAGAUAAAAGCACUUCCUUCUGAUGAUAGCUAAUUCACAAAUUUACCUGGACAGCAAAUUUGUUCACUAACCAUUCCAGGAUGGCCAAUAAAAUUAAUUUUGUAAACUUGCCAGUAAAAACUAAAGCUCAAAUUCAUUUUGGCUACAAGUUUACUUUCAGGGAAUUGAGACUUUAAUCCUUAACUGGCCAGUUUGCUGACAGCAACCUUUUCCUAAGUUAAUCAGAGGCCAGAGGAUCAGUUAAAAUCAAUUCUACUUUUUGGCAGAUGCAGAUUAAUGUCUUAAUGUAGUCUGAACUCACACUUUUCACUCUGGAGUGAGUUAAGGCGGGGCUUAUAGAGAGCCAGGGGAUGGACUGACAAAACCCAGGAAGGAUGGUCCACGCCUCACACUGCUGGUCAAGGGCUCCAUCCGCAAGCCUGCAUGGUACAUCUGUGGAUGGGAGAGCUUGAUGCCCGGAGCCAGAGCUCCAGGCUGCGUAGGGGCUAAGAGCUCAUGGUACGGAGUUUUCUGAUGGAUACCAGGUGCUGUUUAACACAGGACUUUCUCUGUCCAUAAACACAUUAGUCAUUAUACAAAAGAGUCAUCUGAAGAAUUUAAAAAUGACCAAAUGGAAAUAUAAAUAUAAAAUAUCAAAAAAUAUGUCUAAUAGUUUACUUGUGCAGUGAUGUCCCAGCCUUCCUCCAAACAGACCAAAACUGAGGAACCAUUCUCAAGUACUUCUGAUACAACCACAGCCAGCUGCAUUAUCCUGUGAAGCUAAGAGACAGGAAGGAGAACACAAUUAGACCAAGCGCUUUCUGAGUGCAGAAGUCAGAGAGAGUUGCUUUCAACCCUGGAUAAUCAAACGACUUAGGGAUAAAGCGCUUGCACAAAAGAACCACAUAAUGUUUUAAAUACCUAAAGUUCUUUCAAAUCAAGAUUAAACAAUGACACUUUUGACUGGAUGCAAUGACUCAUGCCCAUAAUCCCAGCACUUUGGGAGGCCGAGCCGGGCAGGUCAUUUGAGGUUCGGAGUUCGAGACCAGCCUGGGCAACAUAGUAAGACCCCAUCUCAAUGAAAACAACAACAAAAUGACACUUCAAAAAAGUAGACACAUUUUAAAACAAUACAUUCUAGUAAUACAUAAUGAAAUAAAAUUACCUUACAUGAUUCCCCCAAAAGUAGGUGAGCUAUAAUUCCAUAGAGUACAAAAAACAGAGAUUCUAUGUGGACUUCCCAACAAAAGACGGAAAUUCAGAUGAAUUUUAUUGGAUUUAAAAUUUGUUUUUCCAUGAUGUAGUAAGUUUUGUUUCAGACAUUUUUUUUUUUUUUUUUUGAGACAAAGUCUCGCUCUGUCACCCAGGCUGGAGUGCAGUGAUGCAAUCCUGGCUAACCACAACCUCUGCCCCCCGGGUUCAAGCGAUUCUCCUGCCUCAGCCUCCCGAGUAGCUUGGAUUACAGGUGCAUACCAGUGCACCCGGCUAAUUUUUUGUAUUUUUAGUAGAGACGAGGUUUCACCAUGUUGGCCAGGCUAGUCUUGAACUCCUGACCUCAGGUAAUCCACCUGCCUCAGCCUCCCAAAGUGCGUGGUGGCAUCUGCCUGUAAUCCCAGCUACUCAGGAGGCUGAGGUAGGAGGAUCGCUUGAACCUGGGAGAUCGAGGCUGCAGUGAGCUGUGAUUGUGCCACUGCACUCUAGCCUGGGUGACAGAGCAAGACCCUGUCUCGAAAAAUAAAAAUAAAAAAGAUACUCCUAUUUGUCUAUACUGUGUACUAAAUGAGAAAAAAACUUUCAAUAUAUUUGUGCUAAGUUUUUAAAGCCACAUCAAUUGGCUCAAAGUCCUUAAUAAACAAUUAAGGUAUGAGAAUAGUAUAUAGAUUUUAAAACCAGAUGUAUAACAUUGUAAUUUUAAAAAAUAUUUUAAUGAUCAUCAGACAUAAUUUGCAAUUUGAAUCCAACUCUGAACAAGAACAAAAAUGAAAAAACCCAUCUCUUAAACAGAGCUAGGCUACUUUAAACACAGGAAUAAGGCAAAUGCCCUACUCAGUAAUGAGAAGCUCCUCAUGUAACUGUUUCUACAACAUAGCUAUCACCAGGCCUGAAUUCUUUUGGGCUCAGAAUUUGUUCUAAGAAAUGGCUAUUAUUAAAAAGUCAAAAAAUAACAGAUGCUGGCGAGCCUGUGGAGAAAAGGGAAUGUAUAUACAUUUCUGGUGGGAAUGUAAAUUAGUUCAGCCAUUGUAGAAAGUAGUUUGGUGAUUUCUCAAAUAACUUAAAACAGAAUUACCAUUUGACCUAGCAAUCCCAUUACUGAGUAUAUACCCAAAGGAAUAUAAAUUGUUCUACCAUAAAGUCACAUGCACACACAUGUUCAGUGCUGUACUAUUCACAAUAGCAAAGACAUGGAGUCAACCUAUAUGCCCAUCAACGGUAGACUGGAUAAAGAAAAUAUGGUACAUAUACACCAUGGAAUACUACACAGCCAUAAAAAGAAUGAGCUUAUGUCCUUUGCAGUAACACAGCUGAAGCAAACUAACACAGGAAUGGAAAACCAAAUACUGCAUAUUCUCACUUAUAAGUGGGAGCUAAACAUUGAGUACACAUGGACACAAAGAAAGGAAUAGACGCCUGGGGCGUAUUUGAGGUUGGAGGUGAGAGGAGGGUGAGGAUAGAAAAACUACCUAUCAGGUACUAUGCUUAUUACCUGGGUGAUGAAAUAAUCUGUACACCAAACUCCCAAGAUAUGCAAUGUACCUAUACAACAAACCUACAUAUGUACCCCUGAACAC